CUGUCUAUGUUGGCCUGGAAAAAUAAAAGCCUUUCUCAGAACGGGCUGUCAGUCACAAUCAGCCAGUUUCCAGCAUGGCAGAGGAAUCUUGAAUGAUUUGGAAAUAUGGACGGAAGAUACUACAUUGGAAGAGACUUUAAGGCCCCGCCACAAUGGUCACUGGAGGUCCCAUAUCACCGUCAUGAUACACCUUUCAAGAUGGCACUCUAAUAACGGGAGCAUCGUUCUCAUAUGCGGUGUUCACUAAGAGAAAGAUUUCAGUUGUCAAGUUAUCUACUGAGCUAGCUUCUCCCAAGGUAA